GGCGGACGGGUGAGUAAUACUUAGGAAUCUGCCCAUUAGUGGGGGACAACUCGGGGAAACUCGAGCUAAUACCGCAUACGCCCUACGGGGGAAAGCGGGGGACCUUUCGGGGCUUCGCGCUAAUGGAUGAGCCUAAGUCGGAUUAGCUUGUUGGUGAGGUAAAGGCUCACCAAGGCGACGAUCCGUAGCUGGUCUGAGAGGACGAUCAGCCACACUGGGACUGAGACACGGCCCAG
rnacentral:rRNA from 1 species